rnacentral:snRNA from 1 species
GUGCUCGCUGNGGCAGCACAUAUCCUAAAAUUGGAANGAUACAGAGAAGAUUGGCAUGGCCCCUGUGCAAGGAUGACACACAAAUUCAUGAAGCGUUCCAUAUUUAA